GGAAUUUUUAUCAGAGAUCAAAAUAUAUUUAUCUAAACCCAUUUUUACGCUUAUUUCAAAUCUGCAAUUAAAGUUUCGCAUAUUGACUAAAUAAUAACAAAAUCCUUCUAAUUAAUCUAACAUAUAUUUAUGUUUGAUUAUUAUGUUAUGUAUGAAUAAUCAAUAAAUAUAUUUUAAUUUAAAAAAUACGUAACAAGCACAAUGUAUUAUGUGCAGUAUAUCAAUAUAAAUAAGGAAAUAAGAAAUCAUGUAGCUUUUGAAAUAAUCCACCAAUUUUUUAAAAUUAAAUCCUAUCUAAUGAUUUGCAUCGAAGUGAUUUUAAUCACUGUCAGAUAUCAUCUAUACUGGACCAAACUAUGUCACAUCCCCACUGUGCAGGGUUUUUUUUUUUAUUACGUUCGGUGUUGUGUUUGAAGAUUUUUAUGAGUGGUAUAUUUAUUUAAAUUUUGUUUUGUUUUUAUUUUAUUUAUUUUAUUCUGUUGCUUUAUUUAAUUAUUUUACACUUUAUUUUAAUUAGUAAAUAGUAAUGUUUGUUCUUUAUUUUCGUAAACGAUUUAUUAUAGUUGCAUUGGAUCAUGUAACAUCCAGUGGUAGCGAUUCUAUUUUGUAAUAAAUUGUGACAUGUCAUUAUGGGGUCACGAAAGAUCAAACACACUUUAAUUAAAUAGUGACGUACUUUAUUUAAUUAUUAUCAGUACUAAAGUUGAAUUACACUAUCAGAAGAACCAAUAAAUGUUUAUAACAGAUUAUAUUAUGUCACUGAACAUACUUUUUUUUUCUUAGUCGAUACUAUUCAGUAACGCCUGUGUUCUUAGUCUAGAGUCAAUACUUGACGAGGUUAGUAUACUUAAAGGUUUACCAUCUUGCUUUGAACCAAAUGGAUAUUUAGGACAGUUGAAUGAAGUGCAUUUUAUUUUUGUAAAAAUAAAAUGUAGAAUGUAAUUAAUUUUUAUUGAGAUAAUAUAAUAGUCAAGCAAUAUUUAUAAAGCACCAGAGGUAAAAGGAAAUUAAAGGUAAAAUGCCAUAAAAAUAUUAUACUGGUAAUUAAAUUUCUUUCCAAAGAAAAUACUUAAAUCAUAAAUCAUUUAUUGUCGAGCUAUUGAUAAUUUAAGUUAUAAUGAUGUUGAGAACCAAUAAAUCUAUUUUGACAUAAAUCAGUUUAAAACUCCCCAGGAAUGAAUUACAACUAUUACUUUAACUGCAAAUAGCAUCGAUAAUCAUUUAAAGUUAUAUUUAAACAUCUGAAUAUUGUUUCGACAAUGUGUUUAUUAUCAAUCUAAUAAGUUUAUUUCUUAUUCCUAGAAAUCAACACACGUGGAAUAUUUAUCACGACGGACAUAUACUCAAAAAUGACAAUGCUGCAAUAAUAAUUGAAGUUUAAAAAUCUUUAAAUAAACAUAAAUAUAAAUCUAAUCGAAACAGUGGCCUAGCCAAGACUUUGGCAUAGAAGGGCUAAAUACUUUUACUCAUAAACAGUAUCGAAAGUAUUAGAAUACUUAAUUAUACAGUAAGCUGCAGUAUAUACAUACACAAUAAUAACGCACAAAAAUACAUAAAAAUGGCGCUAACGUAAUAAAUAAAUUAUGAUGUGAAGAAGUGGUGAAUCGCCAGACCGGUUUUGUCACCUGUCGUCACCCUGCGUUAUCAAAUUUUUGAAUUCCGCUAUCAGCACCACAGACAAUAUCUAAAGAUAAAAAAUUUAGCGUUAAAUUACAAGAUAUGAUAAUUCUUAUCAUAUCUUGUCACAUCUCGUAUCACACUCAUAAAAAUUUUUUUUUUCUGUUGUAAUUUAUCCUUUGUCUACAGAAUAAAUUGGUUCUAUAUUUUUUCGAUUAUACGCGUUAUAUGACUAUAAAUUACAGAUACCACAUUUUUGGUGUAGCGGUGUAACCAGAUUACAGAGUUGUGAAUGUUACAAAAAAAUUGAAUAUUAUAAGAAAAUAAAUAGUAAAAGUUUUCAUCCUCUGCUUAAAAUAAAAUAUAACACUUUACUAUUUAUCAAAACAACCCAUACAUAAUUUGAGUUAAACACAACCAAUAUCCCUAUUGAUUAUAAUCCCUUUAGCCCCCCCCCCUAAAAGUACUACAAUGUAUAGUACUUAUAUUAGUAUAAUUUUUCCAGUAUCGAUGUCAGUAUUAUCAUUCAUUGCAUUAAAGAGUAUUAGAUACUCAUCGAUUCGUAAGUGGUAUUAUUGUUGAUAAAAAAUACUUUGUCGAUAAUAUAAUUUUUUUUUAUCAUCUGCAUACUUGAUAAAUAAUAUUUUCAAGUUUGACGUAAACUUAUUCAUAUCAAAGUAAGUAAUAAAUAUUUAUUACAUUUAAAGAUUGUGUGCUAAAUAAUUGAAUAUUUUCCUUUUUUACUGUUAUGACUAGAGAUAUGAAAGAGCACUCGUAAAAGCAAUAACAUUUACAAGCUAUGAACAAGAAAGGAAUGAAAUAAGAUAAAGACAAAAGUUUUAACUCAGUAGUUAAAAAAAAGUCAAAUAGUACAAUCUCAACUUACAACAUGCAACUAUUUGAUGUUUAAUGUGAAUUUAUUGGAAAAAAAAAGCUAUAAACAGCGUAGUCAACGAUUUUUUGACAAAAGCAAUAACUUUCCAUUUACUGAAUA